GGGGAAUUUUCCGCAAUGGGCGCAAGCCUGACGGAGCAAUACCGCGUGAGGGAAGAAUGCCUAUGGGUUGUAAACCUCUUUUUUCAGGGAGGAAUCAAAUGACGUGUACCUGAAGAAUAAGCAUCGGCUAACUCCGUGCCAGCAGCCGCGGUAAGACGGAGGAUGCAAGUGUUAUCCGGAAUCACUGGGCGUAAAGCGUCUGUAGGUGGUCCAAUAAGUCAACUGUUAAAUCUUGAGGCUCAACCUCAAAAUCGCAGUCGAAACUAUUAGACUAGAGUAUAGUAGGGGUAAAGGGAAUUUCCAGUGGAGCGGUGAAAUGCGUAGAUAUUGGAAAGAACACCGAUGGCGAGGGCACUCUACUGGGCCAUUACUGACACUGAGAGACGAAAGCUAGGGGAGCAAAAGGGAUUAGAUACCCCCUGUAGUC
rnacentral:rRNA from 1 species